GUAGGUGGCAAGCGUUGUCCGGAAUUAUUGGGCGUAAAGCGCGCGCAGGCGGUUCUUUAAGUCUGAUGUGAAAGCCCACGGGCUCAACCGUGGAGGGUCAUUGGAAACUGGAGAACUUGAGUACAGAAAAGGAAAGCGGAAUUCCACGUGUAGCGGUGAAAUGCGUAGAGAUGUGGAGGAACACCAGUGGCGAAGGCGGCUUUCUGGUCUGUAACUGACGCUGAGGCGCGAAAGCGUGGGGAGCAAACAGGAUUAGAUACCCUGGUAGUCCACGCCGUAAACGAUGAGUGCUAAGUGUUAGGGGGUUUCCGCCCCUUAGUGCUGCAGCUAACGCAUUAAGCACUCCGCCUGGGGAGUACGGCCGCAAAGGCUG
rnacentral:rRNA from 1 species